rnacentral:rRNA from 1 species
UACGGAAGGGGCUAGCGUUGUUCGGGAUUACUGGGCGUAAAGAGCGCGUAGGCGGCUUACCAAGUUGGGGGUGAAAACCCGGAGCUCAACUCCGGAACUGCCUUCAAAACUGGUAGGCUCGAGUCCGGAAGAGGGGCGUGGAAUUCCCAGUGUAGAGGUGAAAUUCGUAGAUAUUGGGAAGAACACCGGUGGCGAAGGCGGCGCCCUGGUCCGGUACUGACGCUGAGGCGCGAAAGCGUGGGGAGCAAACAGG